UGGAGGAGAACUCAGCUUUCAGUUUGAUGAUGAAAUAUUAGUUAAACACAUCAUCCCCAAAGGGAUUUAUUUGCAUCUUCUAUCAAUGACGAUGGAAACAGUCUCAGUUUAUCAGCAAGAUGGCUGAGGAUGCACUUACCUAAAUGAGCAAUGAAGAUUCAUCUGCUACAGCUGAGCUGUAUUUGCAUAGGCUAACUUAUUGAGAAGGAAAAAGUGGCAGCCUAUUUUUUCUGACUGUAAAAUGGACUACAAGAGAAAAUUCCUGCUCAGAGGGUGCCCUCUCUUGCAGUAAAAAUCCUUUUUGAAGAUGGUCAAUAACAUGAGGACAUAGAGCAGAAUCACAUUCCGUCCCUACAAAACACCCCCGCCACCAUUUUAAACUACAAAUCUGCCAAACAAAAGAUCAUCCAAAAGACACUUUUUUGAGUGCAUUGCGGAACUGGGAGGGUAUCUUCUUCCGAAGUGAUUUCAUUUUCCAGGCUUGCAAUAAUAAAAUGGUCUUAAGAGUGCUGA